UACGGAGGUGGCAAGCGUUACUCGGAUUGAUUGGGUGUAAAGGGUAUGUAGGUGGUGAAUUAAGUCGAAUGUGAAAUCCCUUGGCUUAACCAAGGAACUGCAUUCGAAACUGAUUCGCUUGAGCGACGGAGAGGAAAGCGGAAUUCCCGGUGUAACAGUGAAAUGUGUAGAUAUCGGGAGGAACACCAGUGGCGAAGGCGGCUUUCUGGACGUUUGCUGACACUGAAAUACGAGAGCUAGGGGAGCAAACAGG
rnacentral:rRNA from 1 species